rnacentral:rRNA from 1 species
AGAGUUUGAUUAUGGCUCAGGAUGAACGCUGGCGGCGUGCCUAACACAUGCAAGUCGAACGAAGCAGGGGGGCGGAAUCUCUCCGGAGGGGAAGCCCCCCUGACUGAGUGGCGGACGGGUGAGUAACGCGUGGACAACCUACCCCGCACUGGGGGACAACAGCCGGAAACGGCUGCUAAUACCGCAUAUGCGCACGGCCCCGCAUGGGGCCGCGCGGAAAGCGCAUGCGGUGCGGGAUGGGUCCGCGUCUGAUUAGCUUGUUGGCGGGGUAACGGCCCACCAAGGCGACGAUCAGUAGCCGGCCUGAGAGGGUGGACGGCCACAUUGGGACUGAGACACGGCCCAGACUCCUACGGGAGGCAGCAGUGGGGGAUAUUGCACAAUGGGGGCAACCCUGAUGCAGCGACGCCGCGUGAGCGAUGGAGUACUUCGGUAUGUAAAGCUCUGUCAGCAGGGAAGAGAAUGACGGUACCUGACCAAGAAGCCCCGGCUAAAUACGUGCCAUCAGCCGCGGUAAUACGUAUGGGGCAAGCG